CUUCAUUCAUUACCGGAUUCCUUUCGUCAUUUUGUUUCAGUAUAUUAUUAUAGGCCUUUAUAGGAGUAAUAGAGGGCAAGAUUUAAUCAAGUCUCUGUAGGUUUUUGUUUAGCGUUAGAGACAGAAACAGAGAAACUUUCUGAGUCUUAAUUUAGCACAAACUUCCUGGACUCUACUUUACCCUGAGAAUAAGGCAGAUUAUUAUUAUUAUUAUUAUUAUUAUUAUUAUUAUUAUUAUUAUUAUUAUUAUUAUUAUUAUUGGGGAAUUUGUGUGUUUGGUGUUUAGCUGUGAACCUCUUGUUUUGGAUUUUUCUCUUUUUUUUCAGAGAUGUAUUAUAAAUGGCGACGAGCUGUUAGACAUAACCGUUCGCCUUAUUCCGGCAUUUUCGGUUUGUAAGCGUGCACCAUGUUCUGUCUAACACCGAGCCCAAUGUAUCACUGUGCAAUACCGGACAUGUGAUAUUAUUUCGGGAAACAGCUUGUAUAACGGGUCGGGUGUGAAUCCCACUUCACCUCAGUUGAACUUAAGGGAUCUAGUUCACCAGAGACGUUGAACGUCGUCUGGCGGCUGCGCGAGCACGAAAAGAAGAAGAAAAGAACGCACUGUCGUUGUUACACUGUAGAGCGUAAAAGGAAACCAUCUCUCGACGCAUGUUAGGCGUGUUUUUGUGUUGUUGUUGUUGUUUUAUGUUGCUUCUGACACCGAGGGACGGCCCGGAUCGCUGUGCUUUUCGCUCGCGCUCGUCUCCUUCGUUGCCGAGGAGCUCGCGCUGCAACAAAAGUAACCGGGACGACGGGAAUUCGCCAUGGAGAAGAAUGACAGCUCUCCAGCGCCUGGAGUCUGCGAGCUACCGUCGCUUCUCUUUGCUCUUGAACUUGAACUAUGUCGUAGCCUAAACGCCGUCUGCUUUGGUGCUUAAAAUGGCGUAACUUUGUACAUGCAGCCCUUUCGUUGUUCGCCAGCUUCUUGAUGAGACUGAGGAAGAUAUGGUAGAUGUGGUGCUUAUCCAUGGCCUUAUGAUACAUUUAAAAGGCAAUUAGUUACAUAGUUAUAUAAAACAGAUAAUAUCAGAAGCCUUUACACUUAGCAGUGAGAACAGUCUCUCACAGUGUGCCUGAGUGCAAAAUUUAAUAAAUUAAUUUUAAUAUAAAUUUAAUGAAAAUCAU